rnacentral:rRNA from 1 species
AUGGCCGCGUCCGAGAGCUCACUGACGAGGACCGCCUCGACCUGCGCCCCGGAGACUGCGCACGGGUCGCACGUCUUCAAGAUCGACGGGUACAGUCUGCACAGGGGCUUCGGGGUCGGCAAGUUCAUCCAGUCCGCUACCUUCGCCGUCGGCGGCUACGACUGGUGCCUCCGCUUCUACCCAGACGGCAACAGGGAAGACAGCAAUGGCUGGGUGUCGGUCUUCCUCGAUCUCAAGACCGAGAACACGGAGGUGAGGGUGCUCUACGAUAUGUGGCUGGUCGACCAGACCAGAGCGGCUCCGCUGCCGCAGCCUUAUGCCCGGCCAAACCCUAGCGAGAGAGACCUGUCCGUUUUUGACACCCGUGACAAUGCAGCCGCGAGCUGGGGCUUUACCAAAUUCCGGAGGAAGAGUGAACUUGGAGAGUGGAUUGUGGACGACUUUCUUGGCAUCCAGUGCAAUCUUACGGUGAUCAAGUUCAAGGAGGCGCAGGUGGAGGAGGUCGAGACGAAUGCUGUGGUCCAAGUGCCGCCGUCCGAUCCGUUUGAUAAUCUCAGCAGCUUGCUGGAGGCCACAGAGGGGGCUGAUGUCUCUUUCAAUGUGAAGCAUGAGGUUUUCUCAGCUCAUAAGAUAAUCCUCGCGAUGCGUUCAGCGGUCUUCAGGGCAGAGUUCUACGGGCCAAUGAGGGACGAACAAAGGCGCAACAUAACUGUUGAAGAUAUGCAGCCUGCUGCUUUCAGAGGACUUCUUCACUUCAUCUACAAGGAUUUGUUGCCUCCGAUGGAUGAGCUCAAUGAUGAAGAGUAUGAAGAAAUGCUUAGGCAUUUUCUUGUCGCUGCAGAUAGGUAUGCCAUGGAAAGGAUGAAAUUGAUGUGCGAGAGCAAGCUGUGCGAGGUUCUUUGUGCCGACACUGUGGCGACCACGCUAGCUCUAGCCGACCAGCACCAUUGCAGCCAGCUCAAAGAUGCUUGCAUUGAGUUUAUGAACUCUUCUAAUAUAAUUGGUGAUGUGGUGGCCAGUAAAGGGUAUGAGCAACUGAAAAGGGAAUGCCCUACUAUCAUUGCGGAUAUAUGGGAGAAAGCAGCUAAGAGUCGCAAAAUUUAG